rnacentral:rRNA from 1 species
GAUGAACGCUGGCGGCACGUCUGACACAUGCAAGUCGAACGGCAAGGAGCAAUCCCUAGAGUGGCGAACGGCUGAGUAACACGUAGGAACCUACCCUCCGGCUCGGGAUAACGGUGCGAAAGCGCCGCUAAUACCGGAUAAUACCGCAAGGUGGAAAGAUUUAUCACCGGUGGAGGGGCCUGCGGUGUAUUAGCUUGAUGGUGAGGUAACGGCUCACCAUGGCGAUGAUGCGUAGCUGGUCUGAGAGGAUGAUCAGCCAGACUGGGACUGAGACACGGCCCAGACUCCUACGGGAGGCAGCAGUUCAGAAUCUUGCGCAAUGGGCGAAAGCCUGACGCAGCGAUGCCGCGUGAACGAUGAAGGCCUUCGGGUCGUAAAGCUCUGUCAGAGGGAACGAUAAUGACGGUACCCUCAAAGGAAGCCACGGCUAAUUACGUGCCAGCCGCCGCAGUAAUAC